rnacentral:rRNA from 1 species
GCAAGUCGAGCGGAUGAAGGGAGCAUUGCUCCUGGAUUCAGCGGCGGACGGGUGAGUAAUGCCUAGGAAUCUGCCUGGUAGUGGGGGAUAACGUCCGGAAACGGGCGCUAAUACCGCAUACGUCCUGAGGGAGAAAGUGGGGGAUCUUCGGACCUCACGCUAUCAGAUGAGCCUAGGUCGGAUUAGCUAGUUGGUGGGGUAAAGGCCUACCAAGGCGACGAUCCGUAACUGGUCUGAGAGGAUGAUCAGUCACACUGGAACUGAGACACGGUCCAGACUCCUACGGGAGGCAGCAGUGGGGAAUAUUGGACAAUGGGCGAAAGCCUGAUCCAGCCAUGCCGCGUGUGUGAAGAAGGUCUUCGGAUUGUAAAGCACUUUAAGUUGGGAGGAAGGGCAGUAAGUUAAUACCUUGCUGUUUUGACGUUACCAACAGAAUAAGCACCGGCUAACUUCGUGCCAGCAGCCGCGGUAAUACGAAGGGUGCAAGCGUUAAUCGGAAUUACUGGGCGUAAAGCGCGCGUAGGUGGUUCAGCAAGUUGGAUGUGAAAUCCCCGGGCUCAACCUGGGAACUGCAUCCAAAACUACUGAGCUAGAGUACGGUAGAGGGUGGUGGAAUUUCCUGUGUAGCGGUGAAAUGCGUAGAUAUAGGAAGGAACACCAGUGGCGAAGGCGACCACCUGGACUGAUACUGACACUGAGGUGCGAAAGCGUGGGGAGCAAACAGGAUUAGAUACCCUGGUAGUCCACGCCGUAAACGAUGUCGACUAGCCGUUGGGAUCCUUGAGAUCUUAGUGGCGCAGCUAACGCGAUAAGUCGACCGCCUGGGGAGUACGGCCGCAAGGUUAAAACUCAAAUGAAUUGACGGGGGCCCGCACAAGCGGUGGAGCAU